GGGUUAAAGGGUAAUUUGAUUCUGAGGGAAAAGAGAGACUAUUCUGGUGCUGUGGUCUCUGCUUUUGAUUCAAUUAUUGAUUUGAACCCUUAGAUCUCUAUAAUUGUUUCAAUGUGGUCACAGCUACUAACUAGAUGAUCAUCAUCGAGAACGGGUCAGUUUCCAGUUACAGCUUUAUUUGGCGGCUCAUGUUGGAUAUUGAAGUUAGCAUAUGGCUAAUUGAUGCAAGUUCCCCAUGAAGUUACAUAUUUGACUUUUGACUUCUAAAUUAAGGUUUUGUUUGGAACUGUUUUUUUACUGUUUUUAAAAAAACAGCUUUAAGAAGCAGCAAAAAUUUUUUUUAGUACUAAAAAGCUGAUUUAAGAAGCAGUAAAAGCCAUCCCAAACUAAGAACAAAAAAUAGUCGAAAGCUUUUUUUGGGUAAAUUGAAAAUACUCGAAAGUUUCAUCCCACUAAAAUCAUAUUUGUAGAGAGUUCCUUUUUAAAAAAAAAAGAAUUUUAAAGUUUGCUUCUUUAUAGGGCCUUUUAUAAGGAAUUCCUUAAUAGCGUUUUAGAGAACUGCGAAGGCACUCAUGCAAGAGAUUUUUACUGCUAUUGUUGUUUGCAUUAGUGAUAUGUGUGGCUAUCUCUUAAACU